rnacentral:lncRNA from 1 species
AGCUCCCGGGACCCGCAGGCGCUCGGGUCUCAGUUCUUGCGGGUGGGAGUCGGCUGAAGGAGCUGCGUUAUAUGGUUGUGACAUCACCCUCCCCGGCCCCCAUUUUCAGGUCAGAACUUUCAUGCCUUUGGAAACGAGGGACCCAGAAGAGCCCUUACUGUAGGAGGAAUGUCGCCGUUAGACCUCUAAGCUCCGAAGAACCAAGGGGAGACAGAAUCCAGAUUGCUUCCUUAAAUCCCAAGUAGUAUUGUUUUUUCCACCUUAGAGUCCGCCCCCCCGCCCCCACUUGUCCCAUAUAUUGAUCGGCCACUUUGCCACCGUGUUCCAAGGUUGGAGAGCGUCACAAUGCCCCACCGUCCCCAACUCUCAAGUGGCCGACAGUGGGCAGUCCAGAAGCUGGGACCAGACUCAUCUGCCCGAGGGCACAGUAGGAGGGACGGAGGGAUCUCCCAAGAGCUCCGAGGGCGAGGUGAGAACCAAUUGUGGGGAGGGGGACCUUAUAACGGGGCAGUUAGGAACGGGCAGAGGUGCCCCCACCUCCAGCUUUCAACUCAGGCGAGGAAACUUCGAGACCUUCCCGUCCACACCUGAUUGACAGAAGGAAGCUGUCGCGGCCCAGGAGGCGAGUGUGGGUGUGCAGAGGUGGAGACAAAACCUAAAAGCACGCAGAGCCGGCGAGGGCUUGCGGUCCUGGACGGUAGGGGUCUGCGUCUGGUGCCACCUUCUCCAUCAGGCUGCUUGCUGGGUCCACCAAGCCUGACCCCUCCAGCCAGGAGGGGAUCACGGAGUGUGUCCCCCGCCCGGGCUGCUGCCUGCCGGAAGG